CCUACCUUUUCUAUUUCACUAGAACAAAUGUUCUUGGUAUUAAGGGGAAAUCCUUGGAUACCAGAUAACCCGCUCACACUCUGUGGAGCAGAGUUACUUAGAGCACUCUGAAUCCCAUCUUUGAUCUCUGGCGAUAUUUUUCUCUGUUAUGUCACAGAGGUCACCUGGCUCAUGUGUGACAAACUGCCUGCAUAAGUCACAGUGCCAGUGGCAGAGAUUUGUAACCAUGCCCCUGGUCCAUUGCCUUUGAAUUAUUUCACAGGCCCGCUGCUUUACAUUUACACUCUGUCGGAAGAUGAACAGGGGAAGGGAGUAAAAUCAAGGGCAGGGUCUCAUCCUGAAGGACAAGAGGAAACAGGUGGAGGGUUAAUGGCCCUGGAGCGAUUCCACAAGCCUCUCAGGCUUGAUAUAUGGGCCUCGGGCCUAAAACGGGCAUUGGCUUUCAAAGAUAUAUUAUUUCAUUUGAGGAGAGACAUUCUGGAGUUCCUGCAUUUGUCUGCUGAUAGAUGAUCCUCUGUCCACAAUUGGUUAUGGCGUCUCUGCAGGGAUGGCUUACUCCAUUUUAUUCUCGCCUUCAGAAAGUUUGAGGUGAUUUGGGGUCGGGGGGUGCCAAGAGCUGGGGAAAGAAGCUUCGCAGAAAGAGAUGAUUGGUUUGCCCCCACAUGAACCGCCGGGCAGCGCUACCAGAAAUCUGUCUCACGGCUCCGACGUUACAGAUGAAUCGAAUUGGUCACUAGAUUGAUGUGGAACCAGCCCCUCGAGUGAACCUCGUGUGGCCUUUAGAAAGUCGUCCCACGGAGUCGAAGACCGCAGGAGUCCCUCACGCCCCUGCUUCCACGUGUUCGUGCAGUGAACAUCCGUGACAAUCUUCGGAAUUCUAGCGUGUCCUCGUGCAAGUGUUCUAAAGUCAGGGCUCAGCUGUGGCUCUGGGGUGUUUUUGUGAAACCUCUGACUUUAUGGUUCCCGGGAAUUGUUGCAGCAGCCCAGUCCGAAAGAGAAUGCGUGUUUUUUUUGACAGGCCCCCAGUAAAGAUGAGCCCGUGGCCCCCUGUCUGAGGCAGGGGAGCUCCCUCCUGGGGCCUUGGCGUGCGGGGAGCCCUCCCCACGCCAUCUGCCUGUGGACACUUGUAACCAGAAUAGCUUUGUCGAGGGCACACUCCUCACUUGGAGGAACUUUCCAUUAUCAUUACGGACACGUCGGUGUUUAUCGCAGUUGGUACUGGGCAUGGGGUCUGCUAAGAGAGGCCCUGGUGCGCUUCCCAGGCCCAGCCCCCGCAGGAGGGUGCGGGGAGGCCUGGGGUCUGGCCAUUGGCUCCUUAAAAGGCGCUUAUC